GAUGAACGCUGGCGGCGUGCCUAACACAUGCAAGUCGAACGAAGCUUGACGGAUGAUUUCUUCGGAAUGAAACCAGAUAUGACUUAGUGGCGGACGGGUGAGUAACACGUGAGCAACCUGCCUUUCAGAGGGGGAUAACGGCUGGAAACGGUCGCUAAUACCGCAUGAUGUGUUCGGAUGGCAUCAUCUGAACAUCAAAGAUUUAUCGCUGAAAGAUGGGCUCGCGUCUGAUUAGAUAGUUGGUGGGGUAACGGCCUACCAAGUCUACGAUUAGUAGCCGGACUGAGAGGUUGAACGGCCACAUUGGGACUGAGAUACGGCCCAGACUCCUACGGGAGGCAGCAGUGGGGAAUAUUGCACAAUGGGGGAAACCCUGAUGCAGCAACGCCGCGUGAAGGAUGACGGUUUUCGGAUUGUAAACUUCUUUUCUUAGGGACGAAGACAGUGACGGUAGCUAAGGAAUAAGCAUCGGCUAACUACGUG
rnacentral:rRNA from 1 species